GCGAUACCUGCCGGGGGUGGGGGGCACACCCUGCCUCAUGCGUCAGCACCGUGGGACAACAUUACUCAAUACCUGUUACAGUCAAACCAGCUGAAAAGAUAACAGUUUGCUACUGUACAUAGAGACCUGUGCCUGAGAUUAAAUCAGGUCCUUGGUAUGUCAUCAAACCAUCAAAAAACAAAAGCAGGAGACGCUUUGUUCUGGCAGACCCAGUGGGAGAAAAAGCUCUGUGGGCUGGGUUGGGCAAAGAGAGAUGCCAUGAGACAGCGCUGGCAGUGGGAUUAAUGUGUGUACCAGCAAGAGCAGUAUCUACUCCAUCUGGCUUGGGCUCCACUUCAUCCAGGAAGACUUCCUUUUGAAGGGGGAGAUUCCAGCCAUGAUGGCUCCAACCAGUAAAAGAGGUAGCCUCCCAGAUUUACUUAUCUCAGCCUUCUUGAAAGCACCCCUAACUUCCUUGGCAGCAGUAACCAAACAAGAGCUGUAAAAUACUGUUUUCCCUGGUCUGGCUGAACUCACGACUCAGCAUAUGUGGUGGGGAGCUCCUAAAAUAGCUCUCUGUUGCCUCACCAGCCCCAGCAGCAACUUGAAAAGUCUUUUGCCUUCUGGGACAACUUGGAGAAGUUUUAAAAUGUUUGGACUUAUUUUGAAAGUACUGUGAAAGAUAAGAAUGAUCUAUUCCAAGGCCGUGUGAGCUGAAGGUCUCAGCUAAGGCAUUGCACAAUAGACCCUAGCAGGUUCAGCACAAAACUUGCUCAGGAGCUGAUCAGCUCAUCUUCAUUGCUGUGGCCACCCCUGCCUAAAUUCAGGUUAAAGCUGAGCCCCUUCGACUUGGCACCUCACUAGGCCAAGCAAUCCCAAUUUCAGUGUCCCAAAUAUCAGUGGGGCAAUGCCAAGGCAGAGGGCCCGGGUCCUUCCGUGGCAGAGCCUUGUUGGAGAAGCUUUCUGAAGAAAAGCAAAACAGCCCUGUUCAUGAGGGGAAGCUGUAGCUGCUGCAGGACAAGCGCACUCUUACUCUGGCAAGUUUAAUUGCACACUUUCUCCUGGUCAAAGGCUAUUUACUCUCUAUCUGGAUCUUGUCAUGUUUCAGGCUGUCUCCAGUUAGAGCAAAACCUGAACAGCUCUUGCUGUGUUUAACAAGGGACAUCUCCAAGCUGCUCUUUAUUGCUGCAGUACUUCAGCGUAACGUUCCUGUGGGCUCUACAUGGGGGUUUGUCCCCCUGGAGUAAUGAAAACCCCCUCCCUCCUGUGAGGAAAGGCUCCUCUUUCUUGAAAAUAUAAUUUCCUCCUGAAAAACGCCUCAAAAAGACCAUAUGCAUCUCUAGCUUCCCAUCGGGGUGGGAGAAGAGGUUUUUUGUUCACAUGUCUCUCAUUUCUGAGCACGCUCUCCAGUGCCUCAGCCAGAGCCCUCGGUAUAAUUUCCUGCUGAGUCAGGCUGUUGGUUUUAUUAUCCCAAAUCCCAAACGGGUGGUUUCAAGUACUCCAGGCAUUUUUCAAAGACAGUCUGAAACCCAGCCAAGCCCAUGGUGGGGGGGUGUAACCUUUCUCCGGACAGGUCUGCGGCUGGACUGGUUGUCUCCCAGGUCAGGCGAGCUGGUCUGCAGCUGCAGCUGCCACCCCUGGGGAGAACCCCCCUCUGUCCCCAGAUUCAAGUGAACUUUGUGAUGUUUUAGCUGUAGUAAAUGAUCCCCCUGGGGGUUAUCUGACCACCAAAACUACACUGGCUUGGCUGAAGGAUUAAAGGGCCAAGGCCCAUGUCAAUAUGUGUUGACAGAUAUUAGUGGAUGCAGGCUGGGGACCCCUGCCCAGCCCCAAGUGCCCCACCAGCCAUUUUCACUUGCUGCUUGAAAGUCACCCCUUCUCCAGGUCCUGUGCAAACACGUCUGACUGUGACACAAUAAAACAGAGCAAAAGCAAAUGUGCAAUGUAGAGAUCCAUUAUGCUUUAUUUACAUGCGUCACCAUCUCUUUUACAAACUAGAUUACAAUUUAAAAUGGAAUACACAAGCCAAUAUCUACUAACACCAAGUGGAGUAAGCACUGCGUCUCUACUUCAUUUGGAAAGGGGCAGGUUUUGCUCCAAAACAAACUUCCUUCCAACCUUUGAGUAGUAAGGUAAUAUAUUCCUCCAGGGCAGCAUCUUUUUUCUUUGUUUUCUUUUUUUUUUUUGGUUUUUUUUGGUUUUUUUUUAAUAUAAAAUCCUCAGUAAGACUGCAAUGUGAGAGUGUCUGCUUUCAAAUGAAAGUACAAGAUAGCCCAAAUGAAAAGUAUAAACUGUUCAGCUCUUCGGUAUGUAAAGACGGCCAUGCGCGAUAAGGCUGUGGAUUUAAUAUUCUUCCAAUUUACAUGGCUUGAAACAGAAACAGAUAAAACAGUUUUACAGAUACUGUAUACAUAUUUUUUCCAAUCAUGCAACUUUUUAAAAAAAAAGUUAAACAUGUGAAGCCAAAUGUACAAUCCAUUUUUUCCAACCCAUAGUUACAAAAUGUAUCUGGUCCCCCUUCGCAUCUGUUGGCAAUUCCAAAGGUAUACUGUGUACUUGAAACACUUACAGGACACCAAAUGUCAAGCAAUGAUAUAAUUUUGGAGAAAUACAUGACCUAAAAGGUAACUUUUUUAAGCAGUGGCACAAAAAUUUCUGGAGUUAAGCAGUGUUUAACUAUCUGAUUACUCUUAAGAGAAAAUUUCUUUUACAAAAUCAUUAAAUCAAGCCCCAAUCUGUGACUAGAAAUGACUAGAAACUGCAUAAAUAACACCUUUUUAGACCUUUUGUUUAGACCAAGUGUUCAAAAGACAACCAUGUAAUUGUCACCUUGACCUUCAUCUGUUUUACAUGAUUUCACAAGGACAACUUAUAGGCAUAAACAUGUUCGAAGACUCAAAGGCCAAAUUUUCAAAAUGUAGGUUCCCCAAACUAACUAUUCAAGGCUUAAUUUUGACACCUAAAUGACUGGCCCUUUGAAUAUAGGGACAUUUAUUUAGCACCUCUGGAGUAAAGGGCUUUUGCUGGGCACCUCAGCAGGUGAAGAGGGUGAUGAUCUUCCCUUGGGCCUGGGGGGACCUGUCCCCUCCCUUUCCUUCAAGAAGCCAUGAAGGCAGAGCAGCUUGUCCCCUGCGACCACGCUGGAAUCCCCAAUGUUUGGUGCCUGAUAUCAGGCACUUCUGCUUGAAAAUUUUGGCCCCAAAACUGAGCAACAGAAACCAAACCAAACUGAAGAGGCUGGCCAGGUCCAUCCCUCUUCAGCGAGUGCUGGGAUGUUCUCUGAAGCAGGGCCCCAAGCUGUCCCAGCCACGCCAGUGGAAAUGCUCCCCUUGACAUUGCUGGGAGGCAGGUUAAGCCUUUCAGCCACUAAUGCUUUUAUUAUUUCUUUAAAAAAAAAAUUCUCUGCCAUUGAUGGGCUGUCUCUAAACCAAAUGUUUUUUCUCCAUUUUCUGAACAGAGCAGGCCAUCGUUUUGUCUCUCAUUUCUGCCAGCAGAAGGCAGUUCCUCUGAACCCAAGCAGGCUAAGUUGCUGGAACAGAGCAGAACUUGCAGCCUUUUCAUUUAAGUUUUCAACAGGCCUUCCCUUGCCAUUGACAAGAAUUGAAUCUGUACCAAG